CUUUUGUCUGUUUCCUGCUGUAAUUUCUGCGUACUGGAGUUUGCUGAAUGACCACAUAGGAAUACUGCCCAAUUGAGAAAUGAAGAUUUUCCUCCUUCUCUUGCCAAAGACCACUGGAUACUCUUUAAAAUGUCUGCAGAAAUCUUCAGUGCAUAGGCAUGACAGAAGGACUGACAAUAUUAGCAGUGACAAACCUGGCAAGUUAUUUUUCCUGUAAGAAUCUACAGAUGCUUUUCUUCACAGUGGGCAGCAUUUAUGCCAUGAUCAUGCAAAAAGCAGCGUAUGAAUCAUCAUCUCAUCUGGAGAAUGAAGGAGGAUGAGGCACCUUGUAGAAAGCUCUUUUAAUUUUUUUAAAAAAGAACAAUUAAUCAGAGGAAUGACUUGCCUCCAGAAGUUGUGGAUGCUCCAAUACUGGAUGUGUUUAAGAAGAUAUUGGACAACUAUAUGUCUGAAAUGGUA